UCAUGUUGCCAAUCUUAUCUGAUAUACAAGUUUUAAAGAUAGAAAUUUAAAUUCGCUUUUUGAAAGAUAAUUUAAGCGGUACGUCUAAACACCGAUCAGGACCUCCUGAGUGCAAUCAGGACAUACAAAGUGCACUCAGGACAUGAAAUAUAUGUUUUUGUGAGUGGUGAAGUUUUAAAUGUUCAAGGUAUCUGGUAGGAAGAGGCGACAAUGUGUUCUACAUAGGCUUAGAAAACUAUUUUGCGUUCAAACAUUGAUGGAGAUUCGAGUGUUAACAUAUAUAUAGAGGGUCCAGUAGCAACAACUUUACACAGGUCAGAGGUUAUGUCUAUGACUUACUAUGGCUCCGGUAUUCACGACCGCUACUUCUAGUUCUGCUGAUGAUAAUCAGCAUCUAAGAUAAAGCGUGUCAACGUUCCAAACGCCAAUACUGGUAUAGUAUGUAAGAUGAAUUAAAGAAUUUAGAAGAUAAUCCAAAAGAAUUUGGGAGGAAAAUCGGGAAAAUUGGAGUAGGAAACAACAGGCAAAGUAUUCCAAUGGAAAUGAAAAUGAAAGA